AGACACCUGUACGAAAUUUUGGCACGGAUUCUGGGCGGAAUUGGCACGGAAUUGGCACGGAAUCAGUGAUUUCUGGGCGGACCAGGGACGGAAACGCAAAAUCCGUGCCAUUCUGUCUCACAAGAAAAAUAUUUUGUUCACUUUUCUGGGCGGAAAACUAGAAAAAUUCCGGCUGGAAUUUUAUUUUGAGCAGAAUUUAUACUUAAACAUUUCAUCUUGGACAGAAUUUUCAACUUUGAAAUUUUGUCGGUAGGAAUAGUCUUAACUAUGGGCGGAAUUCUAUACUUAAACAUUUUUCUUGAACAGAAUUUCACAUAUGAGAUGUCCAAAUCAUAAUUGUACUCCUGUUUUUGCACUUUCAGACGUUGAAAUUUUACCUACUGUACUUAUUUUUUUUGCUGAACCAAUAAUUACAGGUGUAUUUUUAGAAUUAAUAUAUUAUUUUUUUCUUAGACAUUAAAAUAGGCCUUCUUUUUAGAUAAAAAAUGUGGCAUUAAUAAUAUAUUGUCAGACUAAUUUAUAUUUUUUGUACUGAAAAACAACUGUAAUAAUCUUAGUGUAGAAUUUGAAAACAUUCACCUCCAAAAAGCUUAAGUUUAUAAUAUAAAGAUUUUUCAUACAGCUUGUAUUAUAAUACAUUUACUGUAUUAUGAAUUUUUAAAUAUGAUUUUAGGACAUCAUCUAAUAGCAACAUUAAAAUAAGAAUGCUUUUUAAAUUUGAAUAUACUAUAGAAUAAUUUAUAGGGCAGUCACAUCGGGACAAGAUUAUAAGUGUGCUUGCCAUUUUAAAUUCUAAGAAUUCAUGAUUUUGUUAUAAAAAAAAUAAACUGCAUGAAAUAAUCUCAUAUAUAAUGCCCUUUUAAUCUAUAUAAAAUUGAUCAACCAAUAUGCCCAAUAAUUGCUUUUAUUUACCGUAGGUAAAUAAAUACUACAAUGUAUAUUCUCACUGAGAUUAUAUUCACCCAGAUUUUACACUACACAGAUCAGAGCUCUGAUAAAACUCUCCUGACCAGCAGUUUCCCAUCAUCUACGCAUGACUGGUCAUUCCAACAGAUCAGGCUGUUCCAUGUAAUUAUUUUGGGGAGAGAUAACAUUAUAAAUUGCAUAUGUAGAAUUUGUCUAGGACAUAUUGCAAUUUUUUUGUACAAAAAUUUGUAAUUGUUUUUUAAAAUUUAUAUAUAUCUAUUUGUUAUUUGAUUUUUCUUUUACAUUCAAUGAAUGAAAGUUAAGAUGACGUCAGUAAAUUAACCCUGUUUUACAUAAUGAUGGACCGGUCCAUUAUACAGUAAACUGUUGUGAAUUUUGAAUUCUAAGAUAUCUGGGUCAGCAUUACAGAGGAUGUACUUGAUAUUUUAACAAUUUUGGAGUAAAGUUUUGUUUAAGAUCUCAAAGUGUUAAAGUAAUUGGUAUGAUAACAUGGGACAAGGAGAUGUAUAACAUAAUCAGGCUGCUCAGGGACUUAAGUGCUGACUGUGAGAUGCCAGGUGUUUAAUAAUGAUGUGCAGUAUUAAUCCUGAAAAGGUGAGCACAACCACAAGAAGUUCUAGGAAACACAGGCAGUGGACUUGAAACAGACAUGGAUUAAAGAAAUAGUAAUUUAAAUAAUCAGAAACAUUUGAAACAAAUUUAUGAUUGAAACACUUCCAGCAAAAUAAUUGCAAAAAAAAACCACAAAGUGUUGGAUUCUAAGAUUCCAAAACCUGCAGCUAGAAAAAAACUGUGUGUUAUAGUGAAAGUAGGGUAUUCUAUUCUGUAUUUGGACUAAAGGAUAUGAUAUUUUUUUUAUUAAAUUUUGUAAAAGAAAAUUUAAUGUGAUACAUUAUUGAUAAUUUUAUCCUAAAAUAUGUGAUCAUGUUAAACUCAUAAAAUUCCGCCCCCUGAAUUCUGUCCCAGAAUUCCGCCCAGAAUCUUGUUUGACAAUUCCGCUCCGAAAUUCCGCCCCAAGAUUCCGCUUCAAAAUUCCGCCCCAAGAUUCCGCUUCAAAAUUCCGCCCCAACUCAUUUGCAUAUUUCGUCCCAAUUCCGCCCAGAAUCCGUUCCAUUUCCGCCUGGAAUCCGGCCGGAAUCCGUGCCAAAAGCAAAUGGUUUAACACUUGUAUAUUUGGGGGAGAAUUUAAAUUUCUGGGCGGAAUCUGCCUUUGAAUUCCGCCCCAUUUCCGUGCAGAAAAUUUCGUACAGG